AUUGAACGCUGGCGGCAGGCCUAACACAUGCAAGUCGAGCGGCAGCGGGACCUUCGGGUUGCCGGCGAGCGGCGGACGGGUGAGUAAUGCCUAGGAAUCUGCCUGUUAGUGGGGGAUAACGCGGGGAAACUCGCGCUAAUACCGCAUACGUCCUACGGGAGAAAGCGGGGGCUCUUCGGACCUCGCGCUAACAGAUGAGCCUAGGUCGGAUUAGCUAGUUGGUGGGGUAAUGGCCCACCAAGGCGACGAUCCGUAACUGGUCUGAGAGGAUGAUCAGUCACACUGGAACUGAGACACGGUCCAGACUCCUACGGGAGGCAGCAGUGGGGAAUAUUGGACAAUGGGCGAAAGCCUGAUCCAGCCAUGCCGCGUGUGUGAAGAAGGUCUUCGGAUUGUAAAGCACUUUAAGUCGGGAGGAAGGACUGUAGGCUAAUACCUUGCAGUUUUGACGUUACCGACAGAAUAAGCACCGGCUAACUUCGUGCCAGCAGCCGCAGUAAAAC
rnacentral:rRNA from 1 species